rnacentral:rRNA from 1 species
AUUGAACGCUGGCGGCAGGCCUAACACAUGCAAGUCGAGCGGUAGAGAGGUGCUUGCAUCUCUUGAGAGCGGCGGACGGGUGAGUAAUGCCUAGGAAUCUGCCCUAGUGGUGGGGGAUAACGUUCGGAAACGGACGCUAAUACCGCAUACGUCCUACGGGAGAAAGCGGGGGGAUCUUCGGACCUCGCGCCAUUAGAUGAGCCUAGGUCGGAUUAGCUAGUUGGUGAGGUAAUGGCUCACCAAGGCGACGAUCCGUAACUGGUCUGAGAGGAUGAUCAGUCACACUGGAACUGAGACACGGUCCAGACUCCUACGGGAGGCAGCAGUGGGGAAUAUUGGACAAUGGGCGAAAGCCUGAUCCAGCCAUGCCGCGUGUGUGAAGAAGGUCUUCGGAUUGUAAAGCACUUUAAGUUGGGAGGAAGGGUA